rnacentral:sRNA from 1 species
GCGGGUGCGUGUGGAGAGGCCCAGGUGAGGAGCCAGCGCCCGCGUUCCGGAAGCCCCCUCCCGGGGCCAUGGGGGCACAGGAUAUGUGCUGUCUCUGGUCUGUCCAAACUCCUCCCAGGCUUGGUGUGAGAUCACAAAUGUGUCACAGCUGCUGGCUUCUCCUGUGCUCUACACGGACCUGAAUUCCAGCAUAAACAAGUUGAGCAUUUCAGCAAAUGUAGAAAACAAAUACAGUCUUUAUGUGGGCUUGGUACUGGCAGUAAGCUCAAGUAUUUUUAUUGGCUCCAGCUUCAUACUGAAAAAGAAGGGCCUCUUGCAACUGGCCAGCAAGGGCAUUACUAGAGCUGGACAAGGUGGACAUUCUUACCUGAAGGAAUGGCUCUGGUGGGUAGGAUUGCUGUCAAUGGGAGCAGGAGAGGCUGCAAAUUUUGCUGCUUAUGCUUUUGCACCUGCCACCUUGGUCACCCCUCUGGGUGCUCUGAGUGUUCUCAUAAGUGCAAUAUUAUCUUCCUACUUUUUAAACGAGCACUUGAACAUUCAUGGGAAAAUAGGCUGCAUAUUAAGUAUAUUGGGGUCAACUGUGAUGGUUAUCCAUGCCCCACAAGAAGAGGAAGUCACAUCUUUGCAUGAAAUGGAAAUGAAAUUGAGAGACCCAGGGUUUAUUUCCUUUGCUGUGAUCGUAACUGUGAUCUCCUUGGUGCUCAUUUU